UAGACUAAGCUGAGGUAAAGGGGAAUCUUUUGAACUUUUUAUCUGAAAUCUGAGCAAAGGCUACUUCAGAAAUAAUAAAAUCUCUUUCUUUGUGACAUGUGGAACAAUUCAUUUGCAUAAAUUGAGGACUAUGCAGCAUAAAUCUUCCCCUGUUGAAAACAAGGAUGGUGUGUCCUUUCUGUGAUUUGAUAAUCAAAGACCACUGACUCAGUAGUUACAUCUGUGAAAACUCAAAAUCUGAGUCUAAAUAGGAGUGCGAACAUUGAAUCUUAGACAGACUUUGUUUGCUAGAUUAUGAGUAUACAACUCUUUUACCUGUAAGAGUCACACAGGUUAUCAUCAGUAGUUUGGGAACCUCAGAUUUGAGCACUUCUCAUCCCAAAUCAGGGCAUUCAAUUUGGGAAUUGUAAUUGGUCCCACACAUGGGACCACAUGUGUAAGGUACAGCUUAGUUAGGUUGAUCCAUUAGAUUCUCAGGUCCCGAAAUUUGUUCUCUUAUAGUCCCAGGUACUAGUUCUGGCUCAGGUACCUGUUUAAUUAUGUACACAGCUCAUUUGAUUAUCUCUACUCUGUUUACUUUUUUGUUUUGUCUGUGCUUCACAGGUUAGACUACUUAGAUAAGAGUAGAAAGUUUGAAGAUCGGCUAAAAGAACUCAAGACUGAAAUCCAUGCUCUCAAACUGGAAGAGAAACAUGCCGGGUUUCUUUCUCAUUGGAACAUAAUCCUUGACUCUUUGGACCAUUCAUCAGAGAAGGCAUACAAGGCUCCUGUUUGGAUGAAAACCCUUGAAGGAGACCUGUUUAAUAAUCUGCAACAGUCUUUUUCACCAUCAUGCCUGCUAAAUGUGAUUGAGAAUACCAUGCCCAGUGCAGCAACAGAAAACUCUUUUCCAACCCAUCCCCUGGUUAUCAAUAACGUGGGAACAGGACACCAAAAGCACAUUAAGGUGCAACAACACAAAACAGAUGUGAUCUAUAUCUGAAGCACUUUAAACAGAAUGAUCAGUUAUCCAACUCAAGUUAUCCAUCCAAAGAUUUCUAGACUACUUUCAUAUUCUGGAAAAAAUGCAGCUCCUGCUUGAAGCAUAAGAAUGGAAACAUUCCUUUUUGAUUCCUAGGAAGUGGUGCUCAUAUUCUGAUAUAGAAAUAGGCAAUACUAGCCAACCAGAGAUCUAAGUCUGCAAGUCUAAUACACCUUGCUAUAUUUAAUAUAUUGUCUUGAAAGUAAUUGAACAUUUCUAUUGGGUUACCUGAAGAUUUGUCAUGCCAAUGUAAGUUUGUAAGAAGAAUCUUAAGAAAUUCAAACAGAUCUAGUCUGUUCCCAAAAUUAGCAAUUCUAUUAAGUUACUUGGGAGUUAAGAACUGAGUUGUAUAUUCAUUUAAGAAUGAUAAACAAGUUGAUGUUAAAUUUCAUUAAAAGCAAUGGGAUAUCACAAUUAACUAGAUUAAGGGCCUGUACAUUUAGAAUUUUUCAUAAAAUUGAAAAUGUAAAUUUAUGAUUGUGAAUAUUUUUAUUUUUGUAAAGUGUUCUACAACUAUUAUUUUCAUGUUUUUCUAUGAUUAAAGGACAAAUUUUAAGUGCACAAAUCUGUUUAUUAAAAUAGAAGCAGUGGGCAUGCUAUAUAUGUCCUUAAGCUAAAACUGCUUGUGCUUGUUUCACAAAAUUCUUUUGCUGGAAAUUCACAUACUGUAUGCUCAAAUGUAAACAUAUUUAUUGUUCUGGCAUAUAAAGAACUGCAGCCAAUUUUAAUUAUUACAACAGGAGUUCCUUCUGAGAAAACAAACUUAGGAGUGUGCUGUUAUUUAACGUAACUCAUCUUAUGAUGAAUAAGGCUCUAUUUUUAUUUUUACAAAAAAAUGAGUUUGGAAUAAGAAAUAAGUAACGGUAACAAUAAGUUUAUUUUAAUGUCAGUAUCUAAAUAAAAAGUCUGUUUUAUAUUUCUUAAAAUUCAAAGCAACAUAAUCUUUCAUCAAAAAUUUUAUUCUCUUCCUGUGAGAAAUGAAAUGGCAGGAAAAUAAGCCAAUUAAUAAGGCUAGAAAUAGGUUUAGUUUACCUUACAAGCCAGCCUAAACAGAAGAAUGCUGUUGAAGCUUUCUUGGCACUGGUGUUCUUCAAUUACUUGAUUCCAGUUGACAUGUCAACUGGCUGUUUCUGAUCACAGCUUGGUCAUGUUUUUUUCUUACAGCAGCCAUGCUUUCUUGCAAUAUUACACACAUAAAAAGCUUCAAAUGGCUAGACAGAAAACAAGUCAUUUAACAUUCAACAGAGCUGUCAUUUCUACUAUGUAAGUUUGUAGUACCUGACCUCCAGGAGAAUAAAGCCAACUUCUAAAUAGAAUGCAUUUGGUACAUGCUUUGUGAGCUGACUCAUUGAAAUAACACUUGCUUUCACUUUUUCAGUUCAUCCUCUGCUCCUAGGUUAGGUGAGAGGAGGGUUAUUUUACUGGGAGUAUAUUAGCAGCUGUCAAGCAACCUUAUAUAAUUUCCCCAUCUAUCCCCUCAUCCAAAUCAUUGAAGCUGUUGAAGAGCACUGGGCCCAGAACAGCCCUGGGGCACCCCACUACACACUUCCAUGUAGAUACAGUUCCAUUGAGGACCACAUGCUGAG